rnacentral:rRNA from 1 species
CUCAGUAACGGCGAGUGAAGCGGCAAAAGCUCAAAUUUGAAAUCCUUCGGGAAUUGUAUUUUGAAGGUGGGUUUGGUUAGGAAAAGAUACUUUAAGUCCAUUGGAAAAUGGCGCCAUGGAGGGUGAUAGCCCCGUAAAAGUA